GAUUAACUUUUCAGCUUUGUAACAAAGUACAUUAGACCUUUCAUCAAUCACGCAGAGAGAGGAGUGUUUUCGGACAUUGUCCCACGAACCAGUUGGAGCGGUGGUGGCUGCAGCAGCAGCCUUGGGUCCAUCCAUGAAUCCCUGGGGAGGUCCAUUGGGUCCAGGGAGCGCGAGACCAUCGGGGCCAAUUCGGUUAACCUUCCUCAGCUUUGUCCUGAUACCUAACAGCCUCAACACGAAUCUUGCUAGCUCACCAUACAACAUGCCAGAACGAUCAAAAAGCUGCAGCACGUAUUUUACAGUAAAUGAGGCGCAGCUUAAGAACAAAUUGCUCCUUUUCCUGUCGAGAACAAAAUUGCCUUCAAGAGAAAUGACGAGCUAAAACAUAAAAUGAGAAGCGAAAUUACCUGAAGAAGUGCGGUCAUAAACAUGUGGAAGGCUUGUGUAUUCUGGUCUAUGAGCAUCGAAA